AGAGUUUGAUCCUGGCUCAGAACGAACGCUGGCGGCAUGCCUAACACAUGCAAGUCGAACGAAGCCUUCGGGCUUAGUGGCGCACGGGUGCGUAACGCGUGGGAAUCUGCCUCUUGCUUCGGAAUAACAGUUAGAAAUGACUGCUAAUACCGGAUGAUGUCUUCGGACCAAAGAUUUAUCGGCAAGAGAUGAGCCCGCGUAGGAUUAGGUAGUUGGUGGGGUAAAGGCCUACCAAGCCGACGAUCCUUAGCUGGUCUGAGAGGAUGAUCAGCCACACUGGGACUGAGACACGGCCCAGACUCCUACGGGAGGCAGCAGUGGGGAAUAUUGGACAAUGGGGGCAACCCUGAUCCAGCAAUGCCGCGUGAGUGAUGAAGGCCUUAGGGUUGUAAAGCUCUUUUACCAGGGAUGAUAAUG
rnacentral:rRNA from 1 species